rnacentral:misc_RNA from 1 species
ACAAAUCCUGGAUUGUUGGAUGGUGCACGUGUCAUUGAACAAGGGUGGAUGUAUCCAUUCCUGCUCACUCGAUCCGUGCACUCUCGACAAUACACACGUUCCAUGUGCAUUCACUUGUGCAUGACAACAUUUCUACGAAUCAUCUGAUUGUCACAUGAUCAAUUCAUAA